GUGGGGAAUAUUGGACAAUGGGCGAAAGCCUGAUCCAGCCAUGCCGCGUGUGUGAAGAAGGUCUUCGGAUUGUAAAGCACUUUAAGUUGGGAGGAAGGGCAGUAAGUUAAUACCUUGCUGUUUUGACGUUACCGACAGAAUAAGCACCGGCUAACUUCGUGCCAGCAGCCGCGGUAAUACGAAGGGUGCAAGCGUUAAUCGGAAUUACUGGGCGUAAAGCGCGCGUAGGUGGUUUUGUAAGUUCGAGGAGAACGCCCCGGGCUCAACCUGGGAACGGCCUCCAAAACUGCAUGACUAGAGUACGGUAGAGGGUAGUGGAAUUUCCUGUGUAGCGGUUAAAUGCGUAGAUAUAGGAAGGAACACCAGUGGCGAAGGCGACUACCUGGACUGAUACUGACACUGAGGUGCGAAAGCGUGGGGAGCAAACAGGAUUAGAAACCCCAGUAGUCC
rnacentral:rRNA from 1 species